rnacentral:lncRNA from 1 species
AGUUUGUGAAAGAAACAUUUCCCUGUAAAUGUUCAAGAACUCAAAUCCACCAGUGAAUUCAUGUCUAUGUAAUGGGAAAACAUCUGGGUAAGGGGUACAAAAAUCUGUUUAUAAAGGAGAUUGUGUUUAACAGGACAUCAUAUUUUGAAAUGUUAGUGCACCCUGGCAGUGCACCUGUUGCAUAAAGCAAUGCUUUCUUUUAUAUAAUAACCCCCCUCCUCCUUUCAGGCUUUCUGUCAUAGAAUCCUAAAUUUCAGUAAAUGAGCCCAUCUUUACCAUAUGCUGUGCUUUUCACAACUUUACAGACGUCGGUUUUAACCCUGCCCAGUCCUUGUCUUUCUCACUAGAAGUGGCUCACCUCUUUUGACCUGUUUCCAUAAGGAUGUUUCUUUCUUUCCCUAGUGAGUUUGUAUUGUCUUCAGGCCAGUGUACCUGCAUCUCUGGUAAUUAGAAUCAUGGUCUGUUAUCUGUCUUGUGGGACACCUAGAGUCACUCCUAAUUUAUAGUUUAAAAAAAAUUGAGUAUAGAAUGGUAAAGGGCUUCUCAUCUCAAUGUGAAAAUAAGUAUCACCUGAUGUGGUGCCCGACUCUCUCUCAAGGCUCUCACCACUUCUUUCUUCUCACAACCACUGCCCCAGUUCAGCUUCUAUUGCCCUUUUUUUUUUUUUUUUGGUUUUUUUGUCUUUUUGCCUUUUCUAGGGCUGCACCUGCGGCAUAGGGAGGUUCCCAGGCUACGGGUCUAAUCAGAGUUAUAGCCACCAGCCUACGCCACAGCUACAGCAACAUGGGAUCCGAGCCACAUCUGUGACCUACACCACAGCUCAUGGCAACACCGGAUCCUUAACUCACUGAGCGAGGCCAGGGAUCGAACCACCUCUAGUCAUCUAGCUAAUUUUUGCUCAUGAUUUAAUAUAAGCAAUAUUAAUAUAUUGCAUUGUUGUCUUUGCCUCAACGAAGUCUUUCUUGUAUCCAGGUUGGGAUUCGUUCCCCCCUCAGCCUUUUGGGGCUCUGUAUGCUUAUCAUCUGUGACAUUCUAUUAUGUUCCUAUAUAGGUGUUUGUGACCAUCUGUCACUUUUAAAUUCCCCCACGUAGAUACUGUGCCUUAGGUAUCUGGCUUUCUGGUGCCUAACACAGCAUUUGGCUCAUGGACAUGCUUCAUUCAUUCAUUCAUUCAUUUGCUCACUUUUGAACUGAAUGGAACCAGGUCACCAAAGAUUACAUAGGUAAUUGGUGGCAGAGGCAAAUGCAGAGAACUUUGGGGGCAAUAUAUGCAGCUACAAUUUGGCCUUGAAUGAUUAUACCUCGAAUUGAAUUAGACAUCCUUGGAGCACAAGGUCUAAAAGAUCAAUGCCUUGGCCUGUGGACUUUCUGGCCAAGAAGUGCAUGCAUUCUUAAGAGGAACAUAAACACAGCUCAUGCUGGUUAUACAGCAGCUUGGGUAGAUGGAUUUAUACUUCAUCAGACAGUUGGUCCCUGGGUAGAAAUGUGGGCCACGGGCCAGGAGACCCCAGUUCAAUUUCCAGUUAAGUCAUCUCUGUUUAUUUCUCACAAAAUACAUAUUUUAAAAAAAUGGAAAUUAAAACGUCAUGCCUAAAACACUCUACAGUAAACAGAGGUCUUAAAAGAAGAGCUAUUGCCAGCACCACUUUUUGUUAAAGCUGCAUCCAAUUUAAAGUUCUUUUAUACCCAGGAUACAGAAUGGUGUGCAGAGUGCUGCAGAAGUCGCUGCACAUCUGAUCAGGCACUCUGGCAGGCCUUUUCUCUGUACAGGAUACUCACAGGCUUGAGGGCUGGCUCUGGACAUUGAUGGAUGCCUACAUGGGGCGUGGGACCCUAGGCAUUUACCUCCACAGCCCAGUCCUUUCUGCAGUGCUCCACCAAUUCUCUUGGUUUGUAGGUAUCUCCCUUCUCUUUGCGUCCUUCCCUCUCUUGGUCCCAUACCUGUCACCUCCUGAUCUGUCCCUCUGUAUCCAUUGUUGUUCCUAUUCAGUGGAUCCUGAUCCUUUCACUCGCACCAUAUACGUCUGCAGCCCCCUGUUGCUCUUGGGACACAGGCAAAAAUCCUUAACCCGGAGUUCCCGUCAUGGCUCAGUGGAAACAAAUCUAACAUCCAUGGGGACACAGCUUCAAUCCCUGGCCUCGCUCAGUGGGUUAAGGAUCUGGUGUUUAGCUGUGUACUGUGGUUUAGGUCCCAGGCAUGGUUUGGAUCUGGCAUUGCUGUGACUGUGGUAUAUACCGGCAGCUACAGCUCUGAUUCAACCCCUAACCUGGGAACCUCCAUAUGCUGGAGGUGAGGUGCAAGCCCUAAGAAGACAAAAGACAAAUAAAUAAAGUGUGUCCUAUUACUAUACUUCUUGAGGGCUUAAGCGACUUAAUCACAGUCACAUGGAGUUGCUGUGAGAUGGGAUUUGAACCCCAGCAGAUUUGCCCUGAGUCAUAAAGAUUCAGUUGAGACACAGUUGUCUUCUCAGUAGGUGAAGUUUCUCCACCUUUGUUUCAUGAUUGCCCUUUUAAGAGCCCUUUUACACCUGUUUUUACUAAUCCUCUCCUCAUGAAAUUUUAAUGCUACAGAUAGACAGUUGUGAGCAGAAUAGUGCUUUCACCCCCCUCCUCUCAAGACACCCACAUCCUACAUCCUGGAACCUGUGAAUACAUCAUAUUACAAGGUAAGGGCGAAUUACGGCUGCAGAAGAUAUUAACAUUACUCAUCCAUGACCUUGAGUUGGGUAGAUUAUUUUGGAUUAUUGUGGUGAGCCCAGUGUAAUCACAAGGGUUUGAUAAGUAGAAGAGGGAGGCGGGGGAGUCAGUGUGAGGGAAAUGCAGUUAGGAAAGACUUGACUGCUGUUGCUGGCUUCAAGAAUGGAAGACGGCCAUGAGCCAGGGAAUGUGGGCAGCCUCUUGAAGCUGGAAAAGGCAAGGAAACAGAUUCUUCCCUGGAGCAUGAGAAGGAACGCAGCCAGGCCAACACCUUGUUUUCAGUCCAGUGAGACCCAUUUCAAACUUCCGACUCCCAGGAAUGGAAGAUAAUAAAUUUGUGUUAUCUUAAGCUACUAAGCUUAUGAUAAUUUGCUACAGCGGCAGCAGAGAACUAAUGCAACAAAUCCAACUCUGUGUGUAUGUUGGUAUAUGUACACAUACCUACAGUUGCAUACACUGCAUGUACCAUAUGCAGGUCUGUGAUUUAUAUGUAGAAUGAGUACAUUUUCCUUCACCACCAGGGAACCACUCCUCCCCCCCAGGGGGGGCGUGCACAUUGCCUCUGUUGCUAAUACAUGUUCUGGACAACAAGAACAAGAAUUGUCUCUGGUUUUGAUGACUGCUUUAGCUUCCAUUCCCAGCAUGGUGCCUGGCACAUAGUAGGCACUGAAGUAUUUGUUGACUUGGUGAGUGCAUGAAAAAAAUGGAUGAAUGAUGAUGAGGGACCUGAAUUAAAUAAACUUCUUAUGAAAAAUAAAAAGGGCUAAAGGACUCCAUGUUGGAAGGGAGUGAAUAAAUGUUUUUGAUUAACAGUGAGACUAUAGCACCGUGAACGCCAUUCACCUCCAUAGAUUUAUCAAUGUCCGGGAGCAUUUGGUUAAAGUGACCAAGGCACAAUGAGGCAGACGCUAACCCUCUUCCUCUUCACCUGUCAAGUGUCCAUUUGGAAGGCAUUUUCUAGGGCUUGGAUUUCGGUAGCCUUGCUUUUGCAGGAGAACCCACAUCCCCACAUGGUUUUCUGGCUACCUCCUCCCUGGGUCUGGGGAAGGUACAGGCUCUUCCUGGGGCCUGCUCUGUGUCUGUCUUGUGGUGAUGAUGGGAGUAUUAAACAUCUUUGGAGGACAGGCCAUGUUGGCUUUGGUUCUUCCCCUGGCACUGGUGAGUUCAGCACAUUCCUUUCUGACUCUCCUAGAGAUGCUGUGUGGGAUAGUCAGGCAGCACCACCCCAUCGGGGUGAAUCCAGUGGGAGGAAAUGCGGAACGUGCCCAGCUCUGUACUUGCAUGCCAUCGGGGACCGGGCAAAAUCUGGAGGGUUGUUGGAAGGGGGCCCGGGUCUUUGGGGAGGUGGCCAAAGUGAGAUUGGGGCAUCGUGCAGCACAGGAGACCUCUGUGGGGUUGGGGGGAGUAACUUCCCAGGCACAUGUGAGGGGUGGCUGUAGAGCCUCACUUGGCAGAGUUGGUGCCUUCACUUGAUCUCACCACAAGGCAGUGCUGGUCUCCAGGGCCUGUGCAUGGCUAACAAGGAACACUUGUCUGGCGUUCACAUUUGCAAAUAACUUUCCUGUGUAAGAGCUCAGGAUGAUGAGUCUUAAGGGGGUCUGGCCUAACCUCUCUGUGGCUGUUUUGUUUCCAUAUUUUAGCAGUCAUUGAUUCCACUGCCUACUGUGUGCAAUGAUAACAGCAAACACAAACAUUUGGAUCAGAUUUUCUGUUCAACAUAUUUUUUGACUUCCAUUAGCCAAUUCAUACCCAAUCCUGUGAGACUGCAUCUUAUGCCUUCAUUUUUCAGAUGAAAAAACUGAAGGUUAGCAAAGCCUAUGAACAUGCCCUGUUCAUUAGGCCACGGAAAAUAAUAGUAUGAUCUACCAGAGUAUGUAUGUGCUGUAAGUGCUCAUAUUUCUUGAAUUCCCAGAGCACUGGGGUAGGCAUUAUUACUAUCCAUUGUCAAAUGGGAAAAUUGAGGCACAAGAUGACUAACAACUUGCCCAAGCUCAGACAGCUUCUAAGAAGAAGGAGGACUUGAAAUCAGGUAGCCCAGCUUCAUAAGCCAUAGUAUCAACCACUGUGCCACUCUGCAUCCCCACAAAAUGGUAUUUCCAGUGGUGAAUCCUAUACCCUUCUUUCCUGUCUACCUUGGGUCCUUUCUAUGCCACGCAGUCUGAGAAGGAAAAUGAUAUUGUUUCUGCUUAUCAUCUGGGUGGGAGAGUAAGGUGUGGUGACUUUUCAGGGCAGAAAGCUGUAAGUACUAAGGCAGAGGUCAGGGGGAGCUCUGAGGCACCACGAAGAAUGGCCCAGGAGACUUAUACCCUGUGGUAUCCACAGCCCCCUACCCAGCGGACGUUGCUUAUGCUGGCCUCUGUGUCCCAAAUUCUUGCUUGAAUGGAGUGGUCCUUGCAGUUGUCCUGGAUUAGUCAUUUGACAUCGUAUUUAGGGGUUUGGGAGACCAUGUUUCUUUUAGAAAAUCUCUACCAUAUGCAGCAUGCCCAGUAAACAUCAGAGUUCAUUGGCAAGCAAACUGCUGAAAAGAAGUACUCUAAGUUGUCCUGCACCAGGUGCCUAAAGACAGAGACCCCUUUGGGCUCUGGCUUUCCUUGGCUGGGUUCUCAUCAGCUUGGAAGGAUCAUCUGUUGCUGCCUGGGCUGGGUGCUGUCUUUUCUAAUUUUGGAUUGAACCCAGUACCUACAUGGCACUUUCUCCCAGCCACUAGCCUGAUUUAGCCUUUACUCCUACCUCCCCUUGGACAUCAUUUUCUAGCCUGAGAUGCCAUCUUUUUCCUAUGUUUUACAAACUCCAAAUUGUAAUAUAUAGGUUUGGCACAUGUUUGUAUACUUCUGGGAAUAAUGAUUUAUAAUAUUUGAAAUUAGAGGUGUCUUUAAUUUCUUAAACAUUUUGUCAUCACCAUACUACCACCAUAAUUUUUCCAGAAUCUUUACUAUCUGGCUGAUGUAAUUAUCUCUUUCUUUUGUUAACCAUGCAAGAAAGUCUAGUUCCUUCAUUGGGUUCUCUCCUCAUCUUUACUUGCCCAUUCUGAGUCUAUGCCUUUGUCAUCACAGCUUGAAACUCCUGGAUCCCUGGCCAAUCAAUGCCUUAUAUGUGUAUUUAGGGGACAUUUGUUUAUUUCCUGAGGGCCUUAAAGUUAGUUAGCCCCCAUCCCAAACCCAGUUGGCAUACAGUUUGUUUGGAUAGUUGGAAAAUAAGUUACAUAAAAGUUUGUGUCUCACUCAUUGGUAAUGAUCUUGGAUAGUCUUGCUUUGUGUCUUAUAGUAAAAAGGUGAUGAUUUGCAAGUAUGAUUGUAUCACUAAGUAAUAGAAAACCAUUUGCUGGCAUGUUUUCUUAGCACUUUAUUUGUAACCUUUGUAUAGAUUUUAGUAGCUGUGUUGGAGUUAUCUGUUUUCAUGUUUGUUUCUCCUAUAGAUAAGUUUAUUACAAUCAGAAAUCUUUUUCUCAUUCAUUUUUGCCUUUCUAAGCAUGGUGCUAGGAACAAAAUAUGUGUUCAAUAAAUGGUAUGGAAAAAA